GACGAACGCUGGCGGCGUGCUUAACACAUGCAAGUCGAACGGAAAGGCCCUGCUUUUGUGGGGUGCUCGAGUGGCGAACGGGUGAGUAACACGUGAGUAACCUGCCCUUGACUUUGGGAUAACUUCAGGAAACUGGGGCUAAUACCGGAUAGGAGCUCCUGCUGCAUGGUGGGGGUUGGAAAGUUUCGGCGGUUGGGGAUGGACUCGCGGCUUAUCAGCUUGUUGGUGGGGUAGUGGCUUACCAAGGCUUUGACGGGUAGCCGGCCGGAGAGGGUGACCGGCCCCAUUGGGACUGAGAUCCGGCCCAGACUGCUACGGGAGGCAGUAGUGGGGAAGAUGUGACGAUGGGCGGAAGCCUGAUGCAGCAACGCCGCGUGCGGGAUGACGGCCUUCGGGUUGUAGUCCGCUUUCGCCUGUGACGAAGCGUGAGUGACGGUAAUGGGUAAAGAAGCACCGGCUAACUACGUG
rnacentral:rRNA from 1 species